GUGUGUAUUGUGUGUUGUAUUUCGUGGUUACUGACGUAAGCGCAACUAUACGCGGUACCAGGCAAAUAGUCACCAGAUGCCGACCGUGCGACUUCAAUAUCUGCGACUGCUUUGUUCGGUGUGACCGACGGACGCGAUUCAUAGUUUUGAAGAACACCUUCAAAUGUUUCCGCACGUCAGUGAGUAGCAGCGCCGCAAUCCUUUGUCGACGACGCGUUCUGUCGCCCUGGAAAAUGCUUUGACGCUCGGGGACGGCCGGUAGCUCGGCGAUUCCUCGCUUGGCGCACCAUUGGAAACCGGCGGUCAUCUAGCAGUGUACGCUGCCAGCGUAUUUUUUAUUGCCAGAGGUAGCAAACAGCAGUGCCUCGACAAACAGUGGAGUGCUGACCAUGCAGUCCAGAAGGUGGCUGAGGCAAGUAUGCUAUAGGAGGUGCUUAUUCAGGCAGAAGAAAUAAGCAUCUGUAGCCAACGUAAAGGAAGCAUCUUCAAAAAGCAGUGCUACAAGGAUGUGAGCAGCAGUUUCCCUUCAACGAACGGGUCAAAUUCAUGGAAGCCACGUGCCUGCUGCUUCUGGCCUACACAAACAUGCAGCCACCAUAGUAAAGUUCUUGCAAAGACAUUCUACACGAACUUGCCCAAAGGCGGAAGGAAGGCACGCACAGAUGGACGCACAGAAAUCAUGGGGCUGCCGUAGAAGCUGUGAAUGAGCAUUAACCUACGUACAGAAAGGAGCGAAGUGGAGCUGUCCAUGGGCCAUGCACACAGUUUCAUAAGCAGGCUUGCAACACUUUUGACAAAUAUGUUCCUGAAUACAUCUGCCAAAGUGGCAUUUAAAGAAGCAUGUAGUAGUGUACUUCACUGUUUAUUUGGCAUG